UACGGAGGGUGCAAGCGUUGUCCGGAUUUAUUGGGUUUAAAGGGUGCGUAGGCGGCCCGUUAAGUCAGCGGUGAAAUCCCGGGGCUCAACCCCGGAACUGCCGUUGAUACUGGCGGGCUUGAGUUCGGUCGAGGCGGGCGGAACUGGCGGUGUAGCUGUGAAAUGCUUAGAUACCGCCAAGAACCCCGAUUGCGUAGGCAGCUCGCUUGGCCGAAACUGACGCUGAGGCACGAAAGCGUGGGGAGCGAACAGG
rnacentral:rRNA from 1 species